GACGAACGCUGGCGGCGUGCCUAAUACAUGCAAGUUGAGCGCUGAAGGUUGGUCCUUGUACCAACUGGAUGAGCAGCGAACGGGUGAGUAACGCGUGGGGAAUCUGCCUUUGAGCGGGGGACAACAUUUGGAAACGAAUGCUAAUACCGCAUAAAAACUUUAAACACAAGUUUUAAGUUUGAAAGAUGCAAUUGCAUCACUCAAAGAUGAUCCCGCGUUGUAUUAGCUAGUUGGUGAGGUAAAGGCUCACCAAGGCGAUGAUACAUAGCCGACCUGAGAGGGUGGACGGCCACAUUGGGACUGAGACAAGGCCCAAACUCCUACGGGAGGCAGCAGUAGGGAAACUUCGGCAAUGGACGAAAGUCUGAACGAGCAACGCCGCGUGAGUGAAGAAGGUUUUCGGAUCGUAAAACUCUGUUGGUAGAGGAGAACGUUGGUGAGAGUGGAAAGCUCAUCAAGUGACGGUAACUACCCAGAAAGGGACGGCUAACUACGUG
rnacentral:rRNA from 1 species